rnacentral:tRNA from 1 species
GCGUUAGUGGUGUAGCGGUAACAUACUUGCCUUCCAAGCAAGUGCUCGGGGUUCGACUCCCCGCUGACGCA